UACGUAGGCAGCGAGCGUUGUUCGGAGUUACUGGGCGUAAAGAGUGCGUAGGUGGUCCUCUAAGUUUGGUGUGAAAUCUCCCGGCUCAACUGGGAGGGUGCGCCGAAAACUGGGGGACUAGAGUGUGGGAGAGGAAAGCGGAAUUCCUGGUGUAGCGGUGAAAUGCGUAGAUAUCAGGAGGAACACCUGCGGUGUAGACGGCUUUCUGGACCACUACUGACACUGAGGCACGAAAGCGUGGGGAGCAAACAGG
rnacentral:rRNA from 1 species